GACGAACGCUGGCGGCGCGCCUAACACAUGCAAGUCGAACGGUUAAAGCACCUUUUAGGUGUGUAUAAAGUGGCGAACGGCUGAGUAACACGUGGGCAACCUGCCCUCCUCUUGGGGAUAGCCUCGGGAAACCGAGGAUAAUACCCGAUACUUCAAUGUGGCCGCAUGACGACAUUGAGAAAGCUUUUGCGGAGAAGGAUGGGCCCGCGGCCUGUUAGCUUGUUGGUGGGGUAGAGGCCUACCAAGGCAAUGAUGGGUAGCUGGGUUGAGAGACCGACCAGCCAGAUUGGGACUGAGACACGGCCCAGACUCCUACGGGAGGCAGCAGUGGGGAAUCUUGCACAAUGGGCGAAAGCCUGAUGCAGCGACGCCGCGUGCGGGACGAAGGCCUUCGGGUUGUAAACCGCUUUCAGCAGGGACGAGGCGAUAAGUGACGGUACCUGCAGAAGAAGCCCCGGCUAACUACGUGCCAGCAGCCGCGGUAAUACGUAGGGGGCAAGCGUUAUCCGGAUUCAUUGGGCGUAAAGCGCUCGUAGGCGGUCUGUUAGGUCGGGAGUUAAAUCCGGAGGCUCAACCUCCGCCCGCUCCCGAUACCGGCAGACUUGAGUUUGGUAGGGGAAGGUGGAAUUCCUAGUGUAGCGGUGGAAUGCGCAGAUAUUAGGAAGAACACCAGUGGCGAAGGCGGCCUUCUGGGCCAUAACUGACGCUGAGGAGCGAAAGCUAGGGGAGCAAACAGG
rnacentral:rRNA from 1 species